rnacentral:rRNA from 1 species
ACUCAAAGGAAUUGACGGGGACCCGCACAAGCGGUGGAACAUGUGGUUUAAUUCGAUGCUACGCGAAGAACCUCACCAAGGCUUGACAUACAGGAAGUAGCGAACUGAAAGGGGAGCCACCCGUUAAGUCGGGAGCCUGAACAGGUGCUGCAUGGCUGUCGUCAGCUCGUGUCGUGAGAUGUUGGGUUAAGUCCCGCAACGAGCGCAACCAUUGCCCUAUGUUGCUACCAUGUUUUUGACCGUAAGGUCAUGGCAUAAGCACUCUUAGGGGACUGCCUGGGAUAACCAGGAGGAAGGUGGAGAUGACGUCAAGUCAGUACGGCCUUUAUGCCUUGGGCUACACACGUGUUACAAUGGCUGGUACAAAGGGUUGCCAACCCGCGAGGGGGAGCUAAUCUCAAAAAACCAGUCUCAGUUCGGAUAGCAGUCUGCAAUUCGACUGCUUGAAGCCGGAAUCGCUAGUAAUGGAAGAUCAGCUCGCUUCCGUGAAUACGUUCCCGGGUCUUGCACACACCGCCCGU